rnacentral:lncRNA from 1 species
ACUCAAGAAAAGGAGGAUUUCAUUAAUUUCUAGCGAGUACAAGAUAUCAAGAAUAUAUAGGCUAGAGUCAAUUUUCACAUUGCAAGCUAUAUUAGUCACAUAGCUUCUUUGUCAUAACAUGGAAACCUUUCGGUCCAUGUCAAAAACACACGGACUAAAAAGAGGAAGAAAAACACAAGAACCAAAAGAUACUGGCGAGGGUUUAAUUAGUCAGCCGUCCUACAACAUCAUGGAGACCAGCUUUCCUUUGCAACCCCUCUAUACAUGCUGCAACUAAUUAGCAAUCUUCCCAACGUCAUUGUUGCUACCACCAUCACGAAUGAUCGGUAGAAACAAAACCUUCACCGCGACAAACCUCCUCCUCCUCAAAAACCAUCACAAACCCAGCCCACCAAUUACAUGGAACAGGUAAAAAGAGAGAGACCAAAGAAAAGAAUAGACAAGACUAAGAUAAAAGGAGAAAACCAUGUCAUGGCCAUGGUAUAAAGGGUUUAUAAUAAGCUACCUGGUAUCUUAGUCAGCUAGAUAGAACAAAAAGAAGACCAUGGAAAAAUUCAAAAGGGGAAGCACGCACGCAAAUGGAUAAUAUGCAGUUUUUGAUACCAUGCCAUGCUCCAACCUUAGUCAUCCCCAUGGAUGUACCAGCAGAGCAACAUUGUGGCACAGCGACGUAGAAUAUAUAUCCUGGCGCGCUGCUCCUUGACGAGCGACGCGCACCUCCUGGUGAACCCCUUGCCACCCUUCUUCGGCCUGGGCAUGGAGUACACCCGCGUCUCGGCCAUGAUCAGGCACAAGCUAACGAUGACUCGAUAGCUAGGCACCUGCAUAGUGCUUCAUGAAGAUUGGUUUAUAUAGAAGGGCAUUGAGCUGGGAUUGGUUGACUAGGAUUUGGGAGAAGGGGAGAAGGGGGGGCGAAUGUGGUCAGCAUGGAGAAUGGAGAGCCGAGAGAAGGGGAGGGGUUGGGUUGCAUGGAAAGGUGGAGCCAGGCACAUA